UACGUAGGGGGCAAGCGUUGUCCGGAUUCAUUGGGCGUAAAGAGCGUGUAGGCGGCCAGGUAGGUCGGUUGUGAAAACUGGAGGCUCAACCUUCAGACGUCGACCGAAACCAUCUGGCUAGAGUCCGGGAGAGGAGAGUGGAAUUCCUGGUGUAGCGGUGAAAUGCGCAGAUAUCAGGAGGAACACCGGUGGCGAAGGCGGCAUCCUGGACCGGCAUUGACGCUGAGGCGCGAAAGCCAGGGGAGCAAACGGG
rnacentral:rRNA from 1 species